rnacentral:rRNA from 1 species
GACGAACGCUGGCGGCGUGCCUAAUACAUGCAAGUAGAACGCUGAAGAGAGGAGCUUGCUCUUCUUGGAUGAGUUGCGAACGGGUGAGUAACGCGUAGGUAACCUGCCUUGUAGCGGGGGAUAACUAUUGGAAACGAUAGCUAAUACCGCAUAACAAUGGAUGACACAUGUCAUUUAUUUGAAAGGGGCAAUUGCUCCACUACAAGAUGGACCUGCGUUGUAUUAGCUAGUAGGUGAGGUAACGGCUCACCUAGGCGACGAUACAUAGCCGACCUGAGAGGGUGAUCGGCCACACUGGGACUGAGAAACGGCCCAGACUCCUACGGGAGGCAGCAGUAGGGAAUCUUCGGCAAUGGGGGCAACCCUGACCGAGCAACGCCGCGUGAGUGAAGAAGGUUUUCGGAUCGUAAAGCUCUGUUGUAAGUCAAGAACGAGUGUGAGAGUGGAAAGUUCACACUGUGACGGUAGCUUACCAGAAAGGGACGGCUAACUACGUG